rfam:Lysinibacillus sinduriensis BLB-1 = JCM 15800 contig13, whole genome shotgun sequence.
AUUUACCACAAGGGGAGCUGAUGAAGUCAGCUGAGAUUGUGCACUUGUUGCACUAACUCUAUGAACCUGUAAGCUAGUACUUGCGUAGGGAUGUGGAUAGAAACCGAC